GGGUGUAUGGAGAAGGUGGAGUGUGAGUGCGGUAGGAGCCGCCGCCUGCAGGGCCUCUUUCCCCAAACCCAAGCUUUUCUGUCCUCUGCGGAAGAGGAGGGGCUCGCUCACUGCCCUUCUCCAAGGUCCAGUAGAGAAAGAGCCCCCUCCCCCACCCUCGCCCUCCUCCCCCCACUGAGCUCUGCAGCUCCUGCUCUGACAUCCAACCAGGAGUUGUUCCAGGCUGGACCCGACCAACGUGACCUAGCGGGGAAAGGAGUGAGAGACGGCGGGACUGGAGAGAGGGACCGGCAGAAAGCGAUUGUCCACAAGUGGAGGCAAAAUAAUGACCUGCAAGUCGUAGGCAAAUGAGCUCAGGGACACCUCCUUCUUACGGCAUCAUUUCCUGGCCCACUGGGUAGAUGCUCCAGGGGUCACUGGGGGAAGAACUGUGUAAAAACCCGGUGGAGGUCAGAGGAGAAGAAAUACCAUCCAUGGGAAGGACUGCAGCCAGCCCAGGCUAGGGCUGAUGACACGAACACAAGGAACCUGGCUGCCCCCUGAUUGCCCCCUCAAGACUCUUUGGUGCUUAAUACAGAAAAAGACUAGAACUCCAGAUAUUUCCCACUUUCAAAAAAUUGGCCUCCUAAAGGAUGUCACCAGCAACUGGAAUGGGGAGGGAACGAGACUAAGAAAGUACCCGAGUCAGUUUUGGUACUUCACAGUUAAUCAGGAAGAAUUCAUGAGACACCACGGACGGAGGCUCUUCUGGAAUAUGGAACUGGGCUCUCAGGCUUCCUUUGCACUGCGUGCUCUCUUGUUCCACUUGAACGUCUGGUUCUAAAUUUGUUUCAUUUUCACCAUAAAAUGAGGGGGAAUCAUUGUGAUGAGCAGCGAGCCAUGGUGUGUCUCCCCCAAGACCUUGCUUGAGCAGAUUAGAAGGUGCCAUCAAAAGCCGCUUCUCUCUGCACCCACUCAUUCAUUCAGGACAUAGGUGAUAAGUGUUUCCUACAUGCCAGGCACAGUUCUGAAAGCUGAGGAUACAGCAGUGAACAAACAGAUGAAAAUUCCUGCCCUCCUGGGGGCUUAGAUUCUACCGAGUAUAGAAAGACAUAGAACAAAAUUAAUUUAUUAAGCGUCCCCUCGUGCCCAGCGGUUUA